rnacentral:rRNA from 1 species
ACGCCGCGUGAGUGAAGAAGGUUUUCGGAUCGUAAAACUCUGUUGUAAGGGAAGAACAAGUACGGUAGUAACUGGCCGUACCUUGACGGUACCUUAUUAGAAAGCCACGGCUAACUACGUGCCAGCAGCCGCGGUAAUACGUAGGUGGCAAGCGUUGUCCGGAAUUAUUGGGCGUAAAGCGCGCGCAGGCGGUCCUUUAAGUCUGAUGUGAAAGCCCACGGCUCAACCGUGGAAGGUCAUUGGAAACUGGGGGACUUGAGUGCAGAAGAGGUUAGUGGAAUUCCAAGUGUAGCGGUGAAAUGCGUAGAGAUUUGGAGGAACACCAGUGGCGAAGGCGACUAACUGGUCUGUAACUGACGCUGAGGCGCGAAAGCGUGGGGAGCAAACAGGAUUAGAUACCCUGGUAGUCCACGCCGUAAACGAUGAGUGCUAAGUGUUAGGGGGUUUCCGCCCCUUAGUGCUGCAGUAAACGCAUUAAGCACUCCGCCUGGGGAGUACGGCCGCAAGGCUGAAACUCAAAGGAAU